rnacentral:rRNA from 1 species
GUGAGGAAUAUUGCGCAAUGGAGGCAACUCUGACGCAGCCAUGCCGCGUGCAGGAAGAAGGCGCUACGCGUUGUAAACUGCUUUUAACCGGGAAGAAACCCCAGGACGUGUCCUGGGUUGACGGUACCGGAGGAAUAAGCACCGGCUAUCUUCGUGCCAGCAGCCGCGGUAAUACGAAGGGUGCAAGCGUUAUCCGGAUUCAUUGGGUUUAAAGGGUGCGUAGGCGGAGCGUUAAGUCAGUGGUGAAAUCCUGCAGCUUAACUGUAGACUUGCCAUUGAUACUGGCGCUCUUGAGUGCGCUUGAAGUGGGCGGAAUGUGCCGUGUAGCGGUGAAAUGCUUAGAUAUGGCACAGAACACCAAUUGCGAAGGCAGCUCACUAAGGCGAUACUGACGCUGAGGCACGAAAGCGUGGGGAUCGAACAGGAUUAGAUACCCUGGUAGUCC